AGAGUUUGAUCCUGGCUCAGGAUGAACGCUAGCGGCAGGCCUAACACAUGCAAGUCGAGGGGCAGCGAGGCGGAAGCUUGCUUCCGCUGUCGGCGACCGGCGCACGGGUGCGUAACGCGUAUGUAACCUACCUUAUACAGGAGGAUAACCCGGAGAAAUUCGGACUAAUACUCCAUAAGUAUAUUUUCGGCAUCGGAGAUAUAUGAAAGAUUCAUCGGUAUAAGAUGGACAUGCGUGACAUUAGCUAGAUGGUGAGGUAACGGCUCACCAUGGCGACGAUGUCUAGGGGUUCUGAGAGGAAGGUCCCCCACACUGGUACUGAGACACGGACCAGACUCCUACGGGAGGCAGCAGUGAGGAAUAUUGGUCAAUGGACGGAAGUCUGAACCAGCCAUGCCGCGUGCAGGACGACGGCUCUAUGAGUUGUAAACUGCUUUUGUACGAGAAUAACGGUAUCUACGUGUAGGUAAUUGAAUGUAUCGUACGAAUAAGGAUCGGCUAACUCCGUGCCAGCAGCCGCGGUAAUACGGAGGAUUCGAGCGUUAUCCGGAUUUAUUGGGUUUAAAGGGUGCGUAGGCGGCCCGGUAAGUUAGAGGUGAAAUUCAGCGGCUUAACCGCAGAACUGCCUCUGAUACUGUCGGGCUGGAGAGUAGAUGCAGCAGGCGGAAUGAGUAGUGUAGCGGUGAAAUGCUUAGAUAUUACUCAGAACACCGAUUGCGAAGGCAGCUUGCUAAUCUAUAUCUGACGCUGAUGCACGAAAGCGUGGGUAGCGAACAGGAUUAGAUACCCUGGUAGUCCACGCAGUAAACGAUGAUAACUCGUUGUCGGCGAUACACAGUCGGUGACCCAGCGAAAGCGAUAAGUUAUCCACCUGGGGAGUACGACCGCAAGGUUGAAACUCAAAGGAAUUGACGGGGGCC
rnacentral:rRNA from 1 species